rnacentral:rRNA from 1 species
UACGUAGGGGGCAAGCGUUUGUCCGGAAUCAUUGGGCGUAAAGCGCGUGUAGGCGGCUCGAUAAGUCCGCUCUGAAAGUCCAGGGCUCAACCCUGGGAUGCGGGUGGAUACUGUCGGGCUCGAGUCCGGAAGAGGCGAGUGGAAUUCCUCGGUGGUAGCGGUGAAAUGACGUAGAUAUCAGGAGGGAACACCGGGUGGUGUAGACGGCUAUCUGGACCGUAACUGACGCUGAGGCACGAAAGCUAGGGGAGCAAAGCAGG